CUUAGUUCAUUCUAUAAAUAUGUGCUAAAUGUUGGCUGUUUACCAAGCCCUAUACUAGGGUCUGAGUAUUCAGGAAUAGAAGGAGUUCAGUCUCUUCUCUCAUGGGGUUUAUUCUUAGGUGGGAAAGAUAAAUAGUAAACAAGUAAGUAGAAACAUAAAAUCGUUAUAGGUGCCAUGAAGGAAAAGCACAGGCUUCCAAAAGAAAGAAUGACAGGAGAUCUCCAGUAGAUGGUGAGUCAGGGCAGUCUUCUGAGGAAGUGGUGUUAAGCUAAACCUGAAGUAUGGGUAGGUCUCAGCUAAAUGAAGAUGGGGUAGAGAGUCAAGGCUUCAAGGUAGGCUGGGACAAGUACAAGACCGGAGGCAGGAGAGUGCUGCUGUGUCCAACGUCCCAAAGGACGGUUAAAACAACUAUGUGGCAGCAAGGUGUCACCUCUGAUGGGACUAUCAUGUCACAUGGUAGUGUGCAGCCAGGUCAUCGAGCCUGGUAAGUCAUGUUAAAGAAUGGUUUUGUUGUUGUUGUUGUUGUUGUUGUUUCUUUUUCUGUGAGUUUUAGUUUUGCUUUUGUUUUUGUUUUUUUCAAAUGCAGCGGGAAGCCUUUGAAAGGUUUUCAGCCAGAAAGUACAUUUUCUGUUUGAGAAAGAUGACACUGGGGGACCAGUUGGAAGGUCGUUGCCAAGGUUCAGAAGUACAGCCAUGCGAUCAAUGGAAUCAAUGAAGGACCUCAUUCCUUGUCCACACACGUGCUGUGGCUGUCUACUUCCCGAAUGGUUUUCAAUGAUUUUCUCAAAACGGCCACAUUGAGUUCAUCCAAAUUUCCCUCACGGAUAGCUGGGAUCCCACAGCCCUGGCCUGGACAGGGCACCAUGCAGGCAGCGAUGAGCCUACCAGGGAAGGACUGGCCUCUGGUUCUAAGGAGUAGAGCAGAGGAGAAGCCAAAAUCUGGGUUUGGAGUGUAUGACCAGGAAGCAUG